UUCUAGUGUGGUGAAUGGUCUUUGUUGCUUCGCUGGUCUCCAAAAAACACUCGGUGGACGAUGGCUGGCCCAGGGAAGGAAGCACUCCAGUGACACACGGCUGAUUGGGAAAAGAUUUUAUUGAACCGAUGUCAGUGAUGUCUCUCCAAAAGGUCUUCCUGGUCACGGACAAAUGGCCCUUCCAUAUUCUAAGUACCUACACAUUACUGAAACUAGAGCUUCUCUGUACCG